rnacentral:rRNA from 1 species
UACGGGGGGUGCGAGCGUUGUCCGGAAUCACUGGGCUUAAAGGGCACGUAGGCGGGCCGCCAAGUCCGCGGUGAAAUCCCCCGGCUCAACCGGGGAACUGCCGCGGAUACUGGAGGUCUCGAGGGAGGUAGGGGCAUGCGGAACUGCGGGUGGAGCGGUGAAAUGCGUUGAUAUCCGCAGGAACUCCGGUGGCGAAGGCGGCGUGCUGGACCUCUUCUGACGCUGAGGCGCGAAAGCCAGGGGAGCGAACGGGG